UCCGUAGGCGGUGCGGCAAGUCGGAAGUGAAAUCUCUGGGCUUAACCCAGAGGCUGCUUCCGAAACUGCCGUGCUAGAGUGCGAGAGAGGCGAGUGGAAUUGCGGGUGUAGCGGUGAAAUGCGUAGAUAUCCGCAGGAACAUCCGAGGCGAAAGCGGCUCGCUGGAUCGCAACUGACGCUGAGGGACGAAAGCUAGGGGAGCAAACAGGAUUAGAUACCCUGGUAGUCCUAGCCCUAAACCAUCAGGACUUGGGGUUUGCCCUGUACGGGGCAAGUCCCGCAGCUAACGCGUUAAGUCCUGCGCCUGGGGAGUACGGUCGCAAGGCUGAA
rnacentral:rRNA from 1 species